rnacentral:rRNA from 1 species
UACGAAGGGGGCUAGCGUUGUUCGGAUUUACUGGGCGUAAAGCGCGUGUAGGCGGACUUGUAAGUUGGGGGUGAAAUCCCGAGGCUCAACCUCGGAACUGCCUCCAAAACUGCAAGUCUGGAGCAAGAUAGAGGCAAGUGGAAUUGCGAGUGUAGAGGUGAAAUUCGUAGAUAUUCGCAGGAACACCAGUGGCGAAGGCGACUUGCUGGAUCUUUGCUGACGCUGAGGCACGAAAGCGUGGGGAGCAAACAGG